UACGUAGGGGGCUAGCGUUGUCCGGAUUUAUUGGGCGUAAAGAGCGUGUAGGCGGCCAGGUAGGUCUGCUGUGAAAACUCGAGGCUCAACCUCGAGACGUCGGCGGAAACCAUCUGGCUAGAGUCCGGAAGAGGAGAGUGGAAUUCCUGGUGGUAGCGGUGAAAUGCGCAGAGUAUCAGGAAGAACACCCGUGGCGAAGGCGGCUCUCUGGGACGGUACUGACGCUGAGACGCGAAAGCGUGGGGAGCGAACAGG
rnacentral:rRNA from 1 species